rnacentral:rRNA from 1 species
AUUAGAGUUUGAUCCUGGCUCAGGACGAACGCUUGCGGCGUGCCUAAGAAAUGCAAGUCGAACGGGAGAGCAAUCUCUAGUGGCGAACGGUCGCGUAACACGUAAGCAACCUGCCCGAAAGUGGGGGACAACAGUUCGAAAGAACUGCUAAUACCGCAUGUGGUUAGCCGCUCGCAUGAGCGGCUAUCUAAAGCCUUGCGCGCUUUCGGAUGGGCUUGCGGCCUAUCAGGUGGUUGGUGGGGUAACGGCCUACCAAGCCUUUGACGGGUAGCUGGUCUGAGAGGAUGUCCAGCCGGAUUGGGACUGAGAUACGGCCCAGACUCCUACGGGGGGCAGCAAUUAGGAAUCUUGCACAAUGGGCGAAAGCCUGAUGCAGCGACGCCGCGUGAAGGAUGACGGAUUUCGGUCUGUAAACUUCUUUUAUCGGGGACGAAGAAUGUGACGGUACCCGAAGAAUAAGCCCCGGCUAACUACGUGCCAGCAGCCGCGGUAAUACGUAGGGGGCGAGCGUUGUCCGAAGUUACUGGGCGUAAAGCGCGCGUAGGCGGCCAUUUAAGUCUGGGGUGAAAGGUUCCACGCUCAACGUGAACAGUGCCUUGGAUACUGGGUGGCUUGAGUUUGGAAGGGGAAAGCGGAAUUCCAGGUGUAGCGGUGAAAUGCGUAGAUAUCUGGAGGAACACCGAUGGCGAAGGCAGCUUUCUGGUCUCAAACUGACGCUGAGGUGCGAAAGCGUGGGGAGCGAACGGGAUUAGAUACCCCGGUAGUCCACGCCGUAAACGAUGAAUGCUAGGUGUUCGGGGUAUCGACCCCCCGGGUGCCGUCGCUAACGCAGUAAGCAUUCCGCCUGGGGAGUACGGCCGCAAGGUUGAAACUCAAAGGAAUUGACGGGGCCCCGCACAAGCGGUGGAGCAUGUGGAUUAAUUCGUCACUAACCGAAGAACCUUACCCAGGCUUGACAUUGAGUGUAACGGUAUGAAAGUACCGCCCCCCGCAAGGGGCACGAAAACAGGUGUUGCAUGGCUGUCGUCAGCUCGUGUCGUGAGAUGUUGGGUUAAGUCCCGCAACGAGCGCAACCCUCACCGUAUGUUGCCAGCGUAAAGUCGGGAACUCUUACGGAACUGCCCGUGCAAGCGGGAGGAAGGUGGGGAUGACGUCAAGUCGGCAUGGCCCUUACGCCUGGGGCUUCACACAUGCUACAAUGGACGCAACAAAGGGACGCAAGAGCGCGAGCUGGAGCCAAUCCCAAAAAUACGUCCUCAGUUCGGAUUGCAGGCUGCAACUCGCCUGCAUGAAGCCGGAAUCGCUAGUAACCGCAGGUCAGCGAAACUGCGGUGAAUACGUUCCCGGGGCUUGUACACACCGCCCGUCAAGUCACUUGAAUUGUCUGCUCCCGAAGUCGCCGGCCUAACCCCUCGGGGAGGGAGGCGCCGAAGGAU